CGCGGCCUAUCAGCUUGUUGGUGGGGUAGUGGCUUACCAAGGCUUUGACGGGUAGCCGGCCUGAGAGGGUGACCGGCCACAUUGGGACUGAGAUACGGCCCAGACUCCUACGGGAGGCAGCAGUGGGGAAUAUUGCACAAUGGGCGGAAGCCUGAUGCAGCAACGCCGCGUGCGGGAUGACGGCCUUCGGGUUGUAAACCGCUUUCGCCUGUGACGAAGCGUGAGUGACGGUAAUGGGUAAAGAAGCACCGGCUAACUACGUGCCAGCAGCCGCGGUGAUACGUAGGGUGCGAGCGUUGUCCGGAUUUAUUGGGCGUAAAGGGCUCGUAGGUGGUUGAUCGCGUCGGAAGUGUAAUCUUGGGGCUUAGCCCUGAGCGUGCUUUCGAUACGGGUUGACUUGAGGAAGGUAGGGGAGAAUGGAAUUCCUGGUGGAGCGGUGGAAUGCGCAGAUAUCAGGAGGAACACCAGUGGCGAAGGCGGUUCUCUGGGCCUUUCCUGACGCUGAGGAGCGAAAGCGUGGGGAGCGAACAGGCUUAGAUACCCUGGUAGUCCACGCUGUAAACGGUGGGUACUAGGUGUGGGGUCCAUUCCACGGGUUCCGUGCCGUAGCUAACGCUUUAAGUACCCCGCCUGGGGAGUACGG
rnacentral:rRNA from 1 species